rnacentral:rRNA from 1 species
GAUGAACGCUGGCGGCGUGCUUAACACAUGCAAGUCGAACGAAGUGGCGAACGUGUGAGUAACGCGUAAUCAACCUGCCCUUCAGUGGGGGACAACAGUUGGAAACGACUGCUAAUACCGCAUACUGAGGGUGGGGUUUUCGUCUGAUUAGCUAGUUGGAGGGGUAACGGCCCAACAAGGCGAUGAUCAGUAGCCGGUCUGGGAGGAUGGACGGGCACAUUGGGACUGGGACACGGCCCAGAAUCCUACGGGGUGCAGGAGUGGGGGAUCAUCCGCAAAGGACGAAAGUCUGGCGGAGCAAAGCCGCGGGAGGGAUGACGGGCUUCGGGUUGUGAAGCUCUGUUAAUCGGGGCGCGGUACCGGAAUAGAAAGCCACGGCUAACUACGUGCCAGCAGCCGCGGUAAUUC